GGAAUAUUGCCCAAUGGAGGAAACUCUGAGGCAGCAACGCCGCGUGAACGAUGACGGCCUUCGGGUUGUAAAGUUCUUUUCUCAGGGAAGAUGAUGACGGUACCUGAGGAAUAAGUCACGGCCAACCACGUGCCAGCAGCCGCGGUAAAACGUAGGGGACAAGCGUUAUCCGGAUUUACUGGGCGUAAAGCGCCCGGAGGCGGCUUUGUAAGUUGGACGUGAAAGCUCCCGGCUUAACUGGGAGAGGCCGUUCAAAACUGUGGAGCUAGAGUGAGGCAGAGGAGCGCGGAAUUCCCGGUGUAGUGGUGGAAUGCGUAGAUAUCGGGAGGAACACCAGGGGCGAAAGCGGCGCUCUGGGCCUAAACUGACGCUGAGGGGCGAAAGCGUGGGGAGCGA
rnacentral:rRNA from 1 species